rnacentral:rRNA from 1 species
GACGAACGCUGGCGGCGUGCCUAAUACAUGCAAGUAGAACGCUGAAGGAGGAGCUUGCUUCUCCGGAUGAGUUGCGAACGGGUGAGUAACGCGUAGGUAACCUGCCUGGUAGCGGGGGAUAACUAUUGGAAACGAUAGCUAAUACCGCAUAAGAGUAGAUGUUGCAUGACAUUUGCUUAAAAGGUGCAAUUGCAUCACUACCAGAUGGACCUGCGUUGUAUUAGCUAGUUGGUGGGGUAACGGCUCACCAAGGCGACGAUACAUAGCCGACCUGAGAGGGUGAUCGGCCACACUGGGACUGAGACACGGCCCAGACUCCUACGGGAGGCAGCAGUAGGGAAUCUUCGGCAAUGGACGGAAGUCUGACCGAGCAACGCCGCGUGAGUGAAGAAGGUUUUCGGAUCGUAAAGCUCUGUUGUAAGAGAAGAACGAGUGUGAGAGUGGAAAGUUAACACUGUGACGGUAUCUUACCAGAAAGGGACGGCUAACUACGUG